CAUAUUUAACAGUUUAUCCAGUAUGAUAACUUUGGCAUAUAGAAUUCGAAACAGACAGCGGAAGAAUUGUGCAAUGAUCUCAUAACUACUAAAUCUCUGCAGUGGUCAAAAGCCGAGAUACAUUGGAGGGAUUGUUCUCGCACAAACCACAGUGAACAUAUAUGCUCAAAACUUUAUCAAACUUGUUCGAUUGCUUUUUACUCAUGAAAUUGGUUGGAAUUUUGAUUCUGGGGUGUCAGUUUCAAAAUCACCCCAAGAUCAGUGCAGCGCCGAGUCGUGGAUGGAGAUGUGAGAUGACCCACCUGAAGAAAAAUAAACUCGGUGAACCGACCUGAAUUAGUUGCUUUGCAGAACGAAUUGAAAUCGAACUGGUGUGAUCACAAUGACAGUGGGUAAGACCCUUCUCUCUCUCUCGCUGUAAGGUAACAUAAGUUUAAAUUCCUGGGGCAUUCAUCCUCAUUCGUAGCUUUUCUCUCAGAACCCCUAAAACCACAGCAUUAAGGUUUAUUCUGACAAAACCGUGUUCUCAAUGAAGUCGUAAAAUGCUGAAUCCACGACUCGAAGUACCUCAAGGGACUAGAUGUUAACCGAUAAAAAUAGUUUCCACCCAUUUCAUCCACCUCACCUGGUACAUUUAGGCCGCUUUGAGCAAAAGCAUCGAUUGGUGAUAUCCAGUCGCUGAAGCAG
rnacentral:lncRNA from 1 species